UACGUAGGUGGCAAGCGUUAUCCGGAUUUAUUGGGCGUAAAGAGAGUGCAGGCGGUUUCUUAAGUCUGGUGUGAAAGCCUUCGGCUUAACCGGAGAGGUGCAUUGGAAACUGGGGAACUUGAGUACAGCAGAGGAUAGUAGAACUCCAUGUGUAGCGGUGAAAUGCGUAGAUAUAUGGAAGAAUACCAGUGGCGAAGGCGGCUAUCUGGGCUGUUACUGACGCUGAGACUCGAAAGCAUGGGUAGCAAACAGG
rnacentral:rRNA from 1 species